rnacentral:rRNA from 1 species
GUACGUAGGGUGCGAGCGUUAAUCGGAAUUACUGGGCGUAAAGCGUGCGUAGACGGCUAUCUAAGUCGGGUGUGAAAGCCCCGGGCUCAACCUGGGAAUUGCAUUCGAGACUGAAUAGCUAGGGUACGGUAGAGGGAAGUGGAAUUUCCGGUGUAGCGGUGAAAUGCGUAGAUAUCGGAAGGAACAUCAGUGGCGAAAGCGACUUCCUGGACCAGUACCGACGUUCAGGCACGAAAGCGUGGGGAGCAAACAGG